GAGGGGGACAACAGCCGGAAACGGCUGCUAAUACCCCAUAGGCUGGGGAGCAAAAGGGAGGAAUCCCGCCCAAGGAGGGGCUUGCGUCUGAUUAGCUAGUUGGUGGGGCAAUGGCUUACCAAGGCAACGAUCAGUAGCUGGUCUGAGAGGAUGAUCAGCCACACUGGGACUGAGACACGGCCCAGACUCCUACGGGAGGCAGCAGUGGGGAAUUUUCCGCAUUGGGCGAAAGCCUGACGGAGCAAUGCCGCG
rnacentral:rRNA from 1 species